GGAAUAUUGGACAAUGGCCGGAAGGCUGAUCCAGCCAUGCCGCGUGCGGGAUGACGGCCCUAUGGGUUGUAAACCGCUUUUGUGUGGGAGCAAUAAGAGCCACGUGUGGCUUGAUGAGAGUACCAUACGAAUAAGCAUCGGCUAACUCCGUGCCAGCAGCCGCGGUAAUACGGAGGAUGCGAGCGUUAUCCGGAUUUAUUGGGUUUAAAGGGUGCGUAGGCGGAGGGUCAAGCAGGGGGUGAAAUGCCGGUGCUCAACACCGGAGCUGCCUUCUGAACUGGCCCUCUGGAGUGGCAGUGCCGUUGGAGGAAUGAGUGGUGUAGCGGUGAAAUGCUUAGAUAUCACUCAGAACACCGAUUGCGAAGGCAUCUGACGAACUGCCCACUGACGCUGAGGCACGAAAGCGUGGGGAUCAAACA
rnacentral:rRNA from 1 species